rnacentral:tRNA from 3 species
GGCGGCGUAGCUCAGUUGGUUAGAGCACACGGUUCAUACCCGUGGCGUCGGUGGUUCGAAUCCACUCGCCGCUACCA